rnacentral:lncRNA from 1 species
CGGAGAGUUCGAUGCUCAAUCCCAGCCCUUGGGGGCCUGUUCCUCCCUCCGGGAAGCGUCUCUCACCCGAGACUACAACUCCCAUAAGGCAUAGCGAGAACGGCGCUACGCGGAACCGGAAAACAGCCAGUUGCUUUCACACUCUAGGGACACCGCCCGCCCCUCGCCGUCCUUAAGUGCUAUUUUUACAUCGAAUGCCCUCGUCUGCGAGUAGGUAAACUGAAACUAAGCUCAUAUCAAAAGGAGAAAGGCUGGAAGACGAGAGGCUACACGUUCUAGAAGCUCCGAGCGAGGAUGAAAAUUAGCCAGCCCACAGAAAUGAAAUCGGCGCCUUUCCCCACCGGUUCUUCCAAAUACGAGCAAAGGACUCUCAAAACGCACGUUCCAGAAACUGUGUUUGCAACCAUUCGUCCUUUUUUCCUGACACACGGGCCCCUGCUCCCCGCUAAGGUUGGGGUCCUGGACACCAACCUUAACUCUUAUCAGUUUUGCGCUCUGAUAGAAGGGCUUAGAUUCCAGAUUGACACUGGGCUCUCAAAGCCUGCUCCUCAAUCUACUGAUCCGGUCCAGCUUAAGAUCCAGUAGAAAGAAAACAUAGCCUGCCCGGACCGUAAACUUUCUAUGUUUCAGACCCUCCAUUUGUAAAAUAGCCUAAUAAAAUCUCAUCCUGGCUUACAGAGCAAGACAGCGUCCUGGUCCAAGAACCGGAUGAGUCAAAAGGCAUUACUAUUGAGUCAGACGUAGAAUAUAUGAAUACCUAGAAGUUCGUAAAUGAUUCUUAAAAGGCUGUUGAAAUAGCGUUUUCAAGUUAUAAUCAGGUGUGACGAUGAAUGCUAUGAAUGCCGUUAUUAAGAAUAGUAAGUGCAGGAUGUUCAUAGGUUAUUCUUGGGGGAAGGGAGAUGGGGUAUGUGAAGUCUGUACUUUCCCCCUCAAUUUUGCUGUGAAACUAAACUGCUCUAAAAGUUGUUUUUUUUUUUUUUUUUCUAAGUAACAAUAAGAAAUAUAAUAGGCCGGGCACGAUGGCUCACGCCUGUAAUCCCAGCACUUUGGGAGGCCAAAGCGUGUGGAUCAUUUGAGGUCAGGAGUUUCAAGACCAUCCUGACCAACAUAGUGAAACCCCGUCUUCACUACAAAUACAAAAAUUAGCCGGGCGUGAUGGUGGGCGCCUGUAAUUCCAGCUACUCCGGAGACUGAGGCAGGAGAAUCACUUUAACCCGGGAGGCGGAGGUUGCAGUGAGCCAAGAUCAUGCUACUGCACUCCAACCUGGGCAACAAGAGCGAAACUCUGUCUCAAAGAAAAAAAAAAAAUUAGAAGUAUAAUAACCACUCAUCAGAUAAAAUUACAAGAAAUUUAAAGACUUUAAUUGGCUUUCAUUUGCAAUAAAAAAAAUCAGAUAACACCUCAUUCUGUAAAAUAAAUUGAGUGUUCUGGUGAUUUGGGUAGGAG